CAGCCUCAGUGUUAUAUGAUUACCCGCUGAACUUGAGCAUAUCGUUAAGCGGAGGAAAAGAAACUAAAUAGGAUUUCCUUAGUAACGGCGAGUGAAA
rnacentral:rRNA from 1 species